AUGAUCUUUAAAACUAAUUCAAACAAUAAUAUCAACAAAGCUUCAACAAUAAGAACAAAACAAUGUCAUUACCAAUUCAACACUAAUCUAGCAACAAUGUCAUUACUAACAAUUUCAAUAACAAUGUCAUUACCAUCACCUUCAACAAUUAAAACUAACACUAUCAUUAUUAAUUUCAAAACUAAUUCAAUAACAAUGUAA